rnacentral:lncRNA from 1 species
CAUUUUGUCCUGCUCAUUCAAGGUUGCUCAAUUUUUUCCACUAGGAAAGCCUAGGUGGUCAGGUACCUGUGGUCCUUGCUGCUGGACUACAACGACCAUCAUUCUUGACCAAAGGCCAUGCUGGCUGGAAUCAAAGUCCAACUACAAUUGGAGGGCCAUUGGUUCCCCACCCUUGGGAAUGGAUCAAAGAGAAAUUAUCACGCAAAAUCUGGAAACAGCCCAAAGCAGAAAGCUCAACAAAGAGGAGUUCACUAAAGAAUUUUUGAAAUGAAAAGGCAAUCGGCAACCUACAGAGCUGACAAAAUCUACCCAACGGCUACAUCUGAGCAGCCGGAAAAUAUCAGCA